rnacentral:tRNA from 1 species
UGUGCGUAAUUUAAAAAAAAUACCAAGCUGUGACCUUGAUAAUAGGAUAUAACNNNCACACACCA